UGUCCAGUAGCACCUUAGAGACUACUAAGUUUGUUCUUGGUAUAAGCUUUCGUGUGCAUGCACACUUCUUCAUACACCCAGGACAAACUUAGUUGGUCUCUAAGGUGCUACUGGACA